rnacentral:rRNA from 1 species
UCAGGCCUAACACAUGCAAGUCGAACGAAGGCCCGGAGCUUGCUCCGGUCACCUUAGUGGCGCACGGGUGAGUAACACGUGGGAACCUACCCUCGAGCGGGGGAUAACUUCGGGAAACUGAAGCUAAUACCGCAUACGCCCUUCGGGGGAAAGGCUUCGGCCACUCUUAGAUGGUCCCGCGCCCGAUUAGCUUGUUGGUGAGGUAACGGCUCACCAAGGCGACGAUCGGUAGCUGGUCUGAGAGGAUGAUCAGCCACACUGGGACUGAGACACGGCCCAGACUCCUACGGGAGGCAGCAGUGGGGAAUAUUGGACAAUGGGGGAAACCCUGAUCCAGCCAUGCCGCGUGAGUGAAGAAGGCCCUAGGGUUGUAAAACUCUUUCACCCGCGAAGAUGAUGACGGUAGCGGGAGAAGAAGCCCCGGCUAACUCCGUGCCAGCAGCCGCGGUAAUACGGAGGGGGUUAGCGUUGUUCGGAUUUACUGGGCGUAAAGCGCACGUAGGCGGUCAAUCUAGUUAGACGUGAAAGCCCCAGGCUUAACCUGGGAACUGCGUUUAAUACUGGUUGGCUUGAGUCCGGGAGAGGGUGGUGGAAUUCCCAGUGUAGAGGUGAAAUUCGUAGAUAUUGGGAGGAACACCAGUGGCGAAGGCGGCCACCUGGACCGGUACUGACGCUGAGGUGCGAAAGCGUGGGGAGCAAA